CUACGUAGGGUGCAAGCGUUAAUCGGAAUUACUGGGCGUAAAGCGUGCGCAGGCGGUUUUGUAAGACAGUGGUGAAAUCCCCGGGCUCAACCUGGGAACUGCCUUUGUGACUGCAAGGCUAGAGUACGGCAGAGGGGGAUGGAAUUCCGCGUGUAGCAGUGAAAUGCGUAGAUAUGCGGAGGAACACCGAUGGCGAAGGCAAGCCCCUGGGCCUGUACUGACGCUCAUGCACGAAAGCGUGGGGAGCAAACAGGAUUAGAUUCCCUGGUAGUCCACGCCCUAAACGAUGUCACCUGGUUGUUGGGUCUUCAUUGACUCAGUAACGAAGCUAACGCGUGAAGUUGACCGCCUGGGGAGUACGGCCGCAAGGUUGAAACUCAAAGGAAUUGUCGGGG
rnacentral:rRNA from 1 species